GAUGAAUGCUGGCGGCAGGCCUAACACGUGCAAGUCGAGCGGGGUUUUCGGACCUAGCGGCGGACGGGUGAGUAAUGCGUAGGAAGCUGCCCGAUAGAGGGGGAUACCAGUUGGAAACGACUGUUAAUACCGCAUAAUGUCUACGGACCAAAGUGUGGGACCUUCGGGCCACAUGCUAUCGGAUGCGCCUACGUGGGAUU
rnacentral:rRNA from 1 species